rnacentral:rRNA from 1 species
UUGAUCUCCCCGUGCAGAAGCUGGGAUAAUAUCNUANNACGAGAAGACCCUAUGGAGCUUUAGACAUAUCAGGUUUACGUCACUGCCCCCUAGAUAAAGGAGUGAACUAAUUAUAUACCUUGAAAAUGUUUUUGGUUGGGGCGACCACGGGAAAAGAAAUAACUCCCACGGCGAAGAAGUACAAACUUUUAAAGCUAAGACAAUCAAGUCUAAGCCAUAGAAAUUCUAACAAAUGAUCCGGCUUGCCGAUCAACGAAACGAGUUACCCUAGGGAUAACAGCGCAAUCCCCUUUAAGAGACCUUAUCAGCAAGGGGGUUUACGACCUCGAUGUUGGAUCAGGACAUCCUAAUGGUGCAGCCGCUAUUAAGGGUUCGUUUGUUCAACGAUUAAAGUCCUACGUGAUCUGAGUUCAGACCGGACG